GCAGUAACAUGCACUGGAGGACCGAACCCACGCAUGUUGAAAAAUGCGGGGAUGACCUGUGACUAGGGGUGAAAGGCCAAUCAAGCCGGGAGAUAGCUGGUUCUCCGCGAAAACUAUUGAGGUAGUGCCUCGGAUGUUUUCCUCAGGGGGUAGAGCACUGGAUGGAUGCGGGGGGCGCGAGCCUUACCAAUUCUAACCAAACUCCGAAUACCGUUGAGUAAUAUCCGGGAGACAGACUGCGGGUGCUAAGGUCCGUAGUCGAGAGGGAAACAGCCCUGACCACCAGCUAAGGUCCCUAAAUCUUGUCUAAGUGGGAAAGCAUGUGAGACGGCCAUAACAACCAGGAUGUUGGCUUAGAAGCAGCCAUCAUUUAAAGAAAGCGUAACAGCUCACUGGUCUAAAUAAGCUGUCUUGCGGCGAAGAUGUACCGGGGCUAAAGACAAGUACCGAAGCUGUGGAUUUGAUCUUAUGAUCAAGUGGUAGCGGAGCGUUCUGUAAGUCUGCGAAGGUAUGGCGUGAGCCAUGCUGGAGAUAUCAGAAGUGAGAAUGCUGACAUGAGUAGCGAUAAACAGUGUGAGAGACACUGUCGCCGAAAUCCCAAGGGUUCCUGCGCAAGGCUAAUCCGCGCAGGGU
rnacentral:rRNA from 1 species